rnacentral:rRNA from 1 species
AUUGAACGCUGGCGGCAGGCCUAACACAUGCAAGUCGAACGAGUGGCGGACGGGUGAGUAAUGUCUGGGAAACCGCCCGAUGGAGGGGGAUAACUACUGGAAACGGUAGCUAAUACCGCAUACCAUCGGAUGUUCCCAGAUGGGAUGAGCUAGUAGGUGGGGGAACGGCUCACCUAGGCGACGAUCCCUAGCUGAUCUGAGAGGAUGACCAGCCACACUGGAACUGAGACAAGGUCCAGACUCCUACGGGAGGAAGCAGUGGGGAAUAUUGCAAAAUGGGCGCAAGCCUGAUGCAGCCAUGCCGCGUGUAUGAAGAAGGCCUUAGGGUUGUAAAGUACUUUCAGCGGGGAGGCGUUACUCGCAGAAGAAGCACCGGCUAACUCCGUGCCAGCAGCCGCGGUAAUAC